rnacentral:rRNA from 1 species
UACGGGGGGGGCAAGCGUUGUUCGGAAUUACUGGGCGUAAAGGGCUCGUAGGCGGCCAACUAAGUCGGACGUGAAAUCCCUCGGCUCAACCGGGGAACUGCGUCCGAUACUGGAUGGCUUGAGUUCGGGAGAGGGAUGCGGAAUUCCAGGUGUAGCGGUGAAAUGCGUAGAUAUCUGGAGGAACACCGGUGGCGAAGGCGGCAUCCUGGACCGACACUGACGCUGAGGAGCGAAAGCCAGGGGAGCAAGCGGG